GGCCAGUGGCGAGGCCCAUGCCCGCGCCCUGCUGGAGCGCGUGGGCUUGGCUGAAAAGUUCGAUGCCUUUGCCGACCA
rnacentral:tRNA from 1 species